AUUGCAAAAAACUCCGCAAUGGCCAAAUUUUUGUCGGCAUCGAAAAUAAUCAUGUGGGGCGAAUGCACAAUGGCGCAUAAACGUGCACUAGAAGCACUCAACCAAACAUUGAAAGAUCUACGCAAUGACUCCAGAUAUUUUGGAGGCGCUAUGAUUCUACUGUCUGGCGCUUUCCCCCAAACACUGCCAGUAAUAACAUCAUCAAUGCCGACGAAAUAAACACUUGCCUAAAAUCAUCAAAUCUAUGUGAUUGCACUUGCAUUGCAAAAUGAUACAUCUGCUGAAGAUUUCUCAGAGCAAUUGCUGACUAUCGUAACUUUGUCACAACAAAAGAAGAGCUCAUCAACAAAUUAUUCCCAAACAUUAUUUCUAACUACAAAAAUUAAGCAUGGUUGCGUGAACGAGCAAUUUUAGCUGCUAUGAAUAAACAUGUAGAUGAACUUGACUACAUAAUUCAGACCGAGAACAUUGGAACAAUGCAUUCAUUCAAAUAUAUUGAUUGUGUUACAAAUGACGAUGAAGUAACUGUGAAGAACUAUCCAACUGAAUUUGUAUGCUCUUGGAUGUCCCAGGCUUACCACCGCACAAUUUACGACUAAGGCUUGGCUCCGUAGUAAUCAUGCUUGAAAACAUAAACCAACCAAAACUGUGCAACGGUACGC